CAUAAUUCUUUGAAUGUAUUUUUUUACUACCAAGUUGGAAGAGCAAAAAUAAUGAAAAGGUGUCCCAUUUCCCCCGCCCUGUGUGUAUCUUUAAUGAACAAAAUAGCUUUUUGAAUUGCUCGUAUUACUAAUAAUCACAGAAGUUUUCACGACUCUUGUCCCUCUGGCCUGAUUGCGACGCGGCGUUUGUUUCUUGCGCUGGUAACUCGUGAUGGUUUUGGAUAGAAGUAGUUAGUUGUCAAUGUAACCUACUGUUGCUUUGUAUGAUAUACUACUAUGUAUACGGUUCAACUCGCCACCGCUUUUAUAAAAGAUCGUCGUCAAGUUAUUAAUCGUUCCACAAGUUCCAUCGCUACAUUGUUGAGGGGAUUGCGAGCAUUGGACGUAGUUAGGAACCGACACGUUUAUUGAGCCUCCAUGUUCUGCAGCUACUGGGGGUUUGAAUCUGAAAUCAACACAACAUGCCAUUGCAAAUGAUAGGAUUCGUACCCACGGAACGCGAGAAGUCCCAACGUUUUGUGCAUCGUCCACGAGCGACCGUUAUCAAGG